GUGCCAGCCGCCGUGGUAAUACCGGCAGCCCAAGUGAUGGCCGAUCUUAUUGGGCCUAAAGCGUCCGUAGCUGGCCGAGCAAGUCUGUCGGGAAAUCCAGUGGCCCAACCACUGGGCUGUCGGCGGAAACUGUUCGGCUUGGGACCGGAAGACUCGAGGGGUACGUCCGGGGUAGGAGUGAAAUCCCGUAAUCCUGGACGGACCACCAAUGGCGAAAGCACCUCGAGAGCACGGAUCCGACAGUGAGGGACGAAAGCUAGGGUCUCGAACCGGAUUAGAAACCCGAGUAGUC
rnacentral:rRNA from 1 species